rnacentral:rRNA from 1 species
GAUGAACGCUGGCGGCGUGCCUAAUACAUGCAAGUCGAGCGAACAGACGAGGAGCUUGCUCCUCUGACGUUAGCGGCGGACGGGUGAGUAACACGUGUAUAACCUACCUAUAAGACUGGGAUAACUUCGGGAAACCGGAGCUAAUACCGGAUAAUAUAUUGAACCGCAUGGUUCAAUAGUGAAAGACGGUUUUGCUGUCACUUAUAGAUGGAUCCGCGCCGCAUUAGCUAGUUGGUAAGGUAACGGCUUACCAAGGCAACGAUGCGUAGCCGACCUGAGAGGGUGAUCGGCCACACUGGAACUGAGACACGGUCCAGACUCCUACGGGAGGCAGAAGUAGGGAAUCUUCCGAAAUGGGCGAAAGACUGACGGAGCAACGCCGCGUGAGUGAUGAAGGUCUUCGGAUCGUAAAACUCUGUUAUUAGGGAAGAACAAAUGUGUAAGUAACUAUGCACGUCUUGACGGUACCUAAUCAGAAAGCCACGGCUAACUACGU